rnacentral:rRNA from 1 species
UACGGAGGGUGCAAGCGUUAAUCGGAAUUACUGGGCGUAAAGCGCACGUAGGUGGUUUGCUAAGUCAGCUGUGAAAUCCCCGGGCUUAACCUGGGCACUGCAGUUGAAACUGGCAAGCUAGAGUAGGGUAGAGGGGUGUGGAAUUCCAGGUGUAGCAGUGAAAUGCGUAGAUAUCGUGAGGAAGACCAGUGGCGAAGGCGGGUCUCUGGACAGUUCCUGACGCUGAGGCGCGAAGGCCAGGGGAGCAAACGGG